GCGUAGCUCAAUGGUUAGAGCACUGGACUGUGGCUCCAGCGGUUGUGGGUUCGAGUCCCAUCG
rnacentral:tRNA from 1 species